rnacentral:rRNA from 1 species
UCUUCCCUCUUUCCUCGUGCCUAAUACAUGCAAGUCGAGCGAACAGACGAGGAGCUUGCUCCUCUGACGUUAGCGGCGGACGGGUGAGUAACACGUGGAUAACCUACCUAUAAGACUGGGAUAACUUCGGGAAACCGGAGCUAAUACCGGAUAAUAUAUUGAACCGCAUGGUUCAAUAGUGAAAGACGGUUUUGCUGUCACUUAUAGAUGGAUCCGCGCCGCAUUAGCUAGUUGGUAAGGUAACGGCUUACCAAGGCGACGAUGCGUAGCCGACCUGAGAGGGUGAUCGGCCACACUGGAACUGAGACACGGUCCAGACUCCUACGGGAGGCAGCAGUAGGGAAUCUUCCGCAAUGGGCGAAAGCCUGACGGAGCAACGCCGCGUGAGUGAUGAAGGUCUUCGGAUCGUAAAACUCUGUUAUUAGGGAAGAACAAAUGUGUAAGUAACUAUGCACGUCUUGACGGUACCUAAUCAGAAAGCCACGGCUAACUACGUG